rnacentral:rRNA from 1 species
UAAGGAAUAUUGAGCCUCAAUGGACGCAAGUCUGAACCAGCCAUGCCGACGUGGAGGAUGAAGGUCCUCUGGAUUGUAAACUUCUUUUAUAUGGGACGAAAAAAGGCUUUUCUAAGUCGUCUGACGGUACCAUAUGAAUAAGCACCGGCUAACUCCGUGC